rnacentral:rRNA from 1 species
CCUACGUGCGGCAGCAGUGAGGAAUAUUGGUCAAUGGGCGCGAGCCUGAACCAGCCAAGUAGCGUGAAGGAUGACUGCCCUACGGGUUGUAAACUUCUUUUAUAAAGGAAUAAAGUGAGGCCCGUGUGCCUUUUUGUAUGUACUUUAUGAAUAAUGAUCGGCUAACUCCGGGCCAGCAGCCGCGGUAAUACAGAGGAUCCGAGCGUUAUCCGGCUUUAUUGGGUUUAAAGGGAGCGUAGAUGGGUUGUUAAGUCAGUUGUGAAAGUUUGCGGAUCAACCGUAAAAUGGCAAUUGAUACUGGCAGCCUUGAGUACAGUUGAGGUAGGCGGAAUUCGUGGUGUAGCGGUGAAAUGCUUAGAUAUCACGAAGAACUCCGAUUGCGAAGGCAGCCUACUAAACUGCCACUGACAUUGAUGCUCGAAAGUGUGGGUAUCAAACAGGAUUAGAUACCCGUGUAGUC